CCUACGGGGGGCAGCAGUGAGGAAUAUUGGUCAAUGGGCGCGAGCCUGAACCAGCCAAGUCGCGUGAGGGAUGAAGGUUCUAUGGAUCGUAAACCUCUUUUAUAAGGGAAUAAAGUGUGGGACGUGUCCUAUUUUGUAUGUACCUUAUGAAUAAGGCUCGGCUAACUCCGUGCCAGCAGCCGCGGUAAUAUGGAGGAUCCGAGCGUUAUCCGGAUUUAUUGGGUUUAAAGGGUGCGUAGGCGGCCGUGUAAGUCAGCGGUGAAAGUCUGUGGCUUAACCAUGGAAUUGCCGUUGAAACUGGGGGGCUUGAGUAUGUGUGAGGCAGGCGGAAUGCGUGGUGUAGCGGUGAAAUGCUUAGAUAUCACGCAGAACCCCGAUUGCGAAGGCAGCCUGCCAAGCCAUGACUGACGCUGAUGCACGAAAGCGUGGGGAUCAAACAGGAUUAGAUACCCCAGUAGUC
rnacentral:rRNA from 1 species